GUGAAAAUCAAACACAUGCAUACUCCUAUGUCUAGCUAUGCUACAAUGAAAGCAAUUAAAGUUGCCAAGAUCUGGAAAGAGCACCAAGGACUCUUCCAAAUACUUGGACUUUAUAAAAGGCCCUUUACAAACCAGAAAAUAAAACUAACAAAGACAUUGGGCUGACACAAACCCAUCAAAUACAAGGAAAAAAUAAAAAAAUAUUACAAAAUUAUGCUACUGGUCUCUGCUUCAACCCAAGGAUGCUACGGUCUCUGCUCUCGGUCCAUUGUGCCCAAAAUAUUCACAUGCCCAGUUUGCUUCCUGACAGGUUAUGGUCCUUCCUUGCUUGCUUCUGAUUGUAAUUCUGGCAAUCCAAUUUUGCAACACAUAUAACCACAAUCUGAAUUAGUGCUCCUUGUCUACAUAGAUAUCAAGAGGAUGAAAUUUAACAAUAUAAAAGAGUCCUCCCUUUCUUGGUC
rnacentral:lncRNA from 1 species